rnacentral:hammerhead_ribozyme from 1 species
ACCCAGAUGACGAGUCCCAAAAAGGACGAAAUGCGCGCCCGGGAU